rnacentral:lncRNA from 1 species
CCGGCGGCCUCGACCCGCCCCCGGGGCGGACCCGGGACUAAGACCCGGGCCGGCCCGACCCGCCCGCCGCCGGCCUCCGCGCGCGGAUCAGAGAAGCAGCGGGUCUACCUGCAGAGACUGAUGGGUGCGCCAUGGAAACAAAAUAAUUGAAGCGUGAAAACGUUGGAAGGUAAGCAGGUCGCCUUUGUGAAGCCUUUGCUGACUUAACCAGUGAUUAUUCAUUCACUCACUGCUAUGGAGUAAUUUACCUUUUGUGGAAUAAAAUGAUGAAUUCAGAAAGACUCGGCAUUGGUUAAAGAUUAAGCUACAGGACACAAUGGAUUUGAUGAC